rnacentral:rRNA from 1 species
AUGUAUGAGUUGGGACACAAAUGGGCUGCUGCGUACACAAAAGAUAGAUAUUUCCUACGCAUGAUGAGUAAUCAGAGGAGUGAGUCUCUCAACUCAAGGCUUCAUGUGCACCUGAACAGGAAGAUGCAGCUUGUUGAUUUGUUGCAGCAUGUUGAGCACUAUGUAUCCAUAAUGCGUAAGAAUGAAGCAGCAUUAGACGCAGUAGCGAUACAUACGAUACCCUUCACUAAGCUGAAUGCACACCCUCUGGAGAUUGCUGCCUCUUAUAAUUAUACAGUUGUGAUGUUUCUAAAGGUAAAGUGUCAGAUUGUCGAAGGGACAAAUUGGCAAGUCACAGACCGGGUAGCGUGUGAUGAUUUUGUCGUGUUUGGAGUUUUGCGAAAAGCCCCAUAUGAUAAUGUCCCAUAUGGCAGGGAUGCUACAGAAUUGCAAGGUAAGGAAGGUAAGGAUGCUGAGGACUUGCAUGCAAAAAACUUGAAUGCUGAGGAUCCCAAUGACUUGGAAGGUAAGGAUGCUGAGGACUUGCAUGCAAAAAACUUGGAUGCUAAGGUCCCAAUGACUUGA